UACGAAGGGUGCGGGCGUUAUUCGUUUUGAUUGGGUGUAAAGGGUGCGUAGGCGGGUGAUGUAAGUUCUGGCCAAAAGUGCGGAGUAUUCCUACGCAAUGGUCUUUUCUAGACUCAUCUUGUGUUGAAGAGAGGUUUCGGUGCAAUAUCUCAUGAAGGGGUAAGAUCCCGCGAUAUGAGGUCGAACGCCAAGCGGCGGAGGCAACCUUCUAGCUUCAACAGACGCUGAGUGGUAUCGAAAGCGGCGAGCAUAAACAGG
rnacentral:misc_RNA from 1 species